UCUUCCAUCUCCACGCCCCACCUCCUCCUUAGAUCAGAUUAGAGAGAGAGUUUAGAAAGAGGAAGAGAAGAACAAAAAUUUUUUCUUCUCUUCUUGGCAUCCUAGAAAGGUUCCUUCAAAAUCUACACGAAGAGUUCAAGCAGCAAUCUUUGUUCUUCGAGUUCUAGGAGAAGAACAUCUAGAUCUAAGCUAAGAAAUGAAGCCUGC
rnacentral:lncRNA from 1 species